UGGGGAAUUUUGGACAAUGGGCGAAAGCCUGAUCCAGCAAUGCCGCGUGUGUGAAGAAGGCCUUCGGGUUGUAAAGCACUUUUGUCCGGAAAGAAAUCCUUGGCUCUAAUACAGUCGGGGGAUGACGGUACCGGAAGAAUAAGCACCGGCUAACUACGUGCCAGCAGCCACGGAAUACGUAGGGUGCAAGCGUUAAUCGGAAUUACUGGGCGUAAAGCGUGCGCAGGCGGUUUGCUAAGACCGAUGUGAAAUCCCCGGGCUCAACCUGGGAACUGCAUUGGUGACUGGCAGGCUAGAGUAUGGCAGAGGGGGGUAGAAUUCCACGUGUAGCAGUGAAAUGCGUAGAGAUGUGGAGGAAUACCGAUGGCGAAGGCAGCCCCCUGGGCCAAAUACUGACGCUCAUGCACGAAAAGCGUGGGGAGCAAACAGGAUUAGAUACCCUGGUAGUCCACGCCCUAAAACGAUGUCAACUAGUUGUUGGGGAUUCAUUUCCUUAGUAACGUAGCUAACGCGUGAAGUUGACCGCCUGGGGAGUACGGUCGCAAGAUUAAAAACUCAAAGGAAUUGACGGGGUCAUAGCUGUUUCCU
rnacentral:rRNA from 1 species